rnacentral:pre_miRNA from 1 species
UCUUAUCGAUGAGCAAAGGAAGUGAUUUCUUGAGAUAGAAAGUACUCCUGGUGAAAAUGCUGUGGA